rnacentral:lncRNA from 1 species
AUUCUUGAAUGCUAGACUCAGUCCAGCUUCAGUCUAGUUUCCCUCACCUCCCCACUCCAGUGUUGUUGAUGUGGUUGAGGUCAGAGGGGUAAAUAUGAGGUUCAAGGGAUCAGUACUGGAGAAGGAAACAGUGUUUACCUCCAAGUUCUAGAUCCAAGAUGAGAUCAAAAAACGUGACCUGGCGAGGAGCUAUCAAAUGAGCACAGCAAUGGGAGCACAGCAAGAAAUGUUCACUGAUAUUUCUUGGAAUGAAAUUAUAGAUACACUUCUGCAUUUGAAGUAUUAUAGCAAAAAGAACUCCUUCAAGGUGAAUUUAACAACCAGACUGAGGGACUCUGCUAAUUCACUUUAUUCUGGUCUCAUCCCUGAUGGAAAGGACAAGAGUUGACAAUGAGGUGAGACCAUGAAGGAUAUAAACCCUCAUGCUUUAGAUCAUAAGCCAAUUUGCAAUAACCUGUGUUUAGGAAGAGCUUUUCCCACAGGUUUAUAGGAUUGUGAAAGUAUAUUUGCUGCCCAGGACCAUGUCCAGAUGCCUUCCAUGUGUCUCCAAGGCCCACGAAUGUCUCUGCAACAUCUCUGAUCCACCUGUGCCACUGCUUGGUCACCCUCACAGUGAAAAAGUGUUUUCUGAUGUUCAGGAAGCACCUCCUGUGCUUCAGCUCGUGCCCAUCUCCUCUUGUUCUGUCCUUGGGCACUGCUGAGAAGAGCCUGCCUCAGUCUUCUUUGCACCCUCCCUUCAGGAUGAGAAGACAUGGCCUCAAGCUGACCCAGAGAGGGUUUAGAUUGGC